GAGGGAUCAUUACCGAGUUUACAACUCCCAAACCCCUGUGAACAUACCACUUGUUGCCUCGGCGGAUCAGCCCGCUCCCGGUAAAACGGGACGGCCCGCCAGAGGACCCCUAAACUCUGUUUCUAUAUGUAACUUCUGAGUAAAACCAUAAAUAAAUCAAAACUUUCAACAACGGAUCUCUUGGUUCUGGCAUCGAUGAAGAACGCAGCAAAAUGCGAUAAGUAAUGUGAAUUGCAGAAUUCAGUGAAUCAUCGAAUCUUUGAACGCACAUUGCGCCCGCCAGUAUUCUGGCGGGCAUGCCUGUUCGAGCGUCAUUUCAACCCUCAAGCACAGCUUGGUGUUGGGACUCGCGUUAAUUCGCGUUCCCCAAAUUGAUUGGCGGUCACGUCGAGCUUCCAUAGCGUAGUAGUAAAACCCUCGUUACUGGUAAUCGUCGCGGCCACGCCGUUAAACCCCAACUUCUGAAUGUUGACCUCGGAUCAGGUAGGAAUACCCGCUGAA
rnacentral:rRNA from 1 species